UACUAUUUCCGAGGUGGAAGGGA
rnacentral:miRNA from 1 species